GGCAGCGGGGGCUCCUGGAGCACCUGGAGCACCGUGGAUAAACAUCUCUUCCUGGGAACUAAGGAUCAAUUACCCACCUGCUUGCUCACCUUAUGACCUCUGACCUGCUGACCACCGACCUGCUGUGCCAGCUAAGCAUCUCGUGACAGUAGUAAAAGAGACAUUCCUGUCAUAUGUGAGGCAGAAACACACCACUUAAUGGCAAAUGAGCGGCGGUUGAAAUCAACAUGGUUGGCCAUCCCAGUGGGAUGAACCGGGGUAGGAGAAGGGGAGCUGUGGAGGCCCCGGAGCAUGUAAGCAUCUUCAGAAUACGUCUCCUGACUCCGUGUGGACCCAGCUGCUCCUGUCUCAGGUUCCAGGAUGCUCACCUGAUAUUCCUGUGCUCACGUACAGCACCAGGACCAGCAACGCCAACAGCGUCUGGGGGCGAGAAGAGGAGGAGGGUGUGGAUUCCUGGGGGCAGACGGGCGACCCUGUUUCCCUCACAGAGGGCUAGGCAUGGGGGUGCGAGAAGAUUGUUUUUUAGAGCUUAACUUUUUUCUAGUUCUCUAAGUCAUGCGUGCUUACUCACCACAAAACCCCCAAGCACUGCAGAAAUACAUAACAUGGCAACUUACUGGCAUUUCGUUGGUGUUUUCCCUCCUUUCUCCCUACUGAGAAGCAAGGCCCACCUCUGUUCUCAUUCCUUUUAAAUUUUUUGUUUUAAAUGAUCUUUAAAAGGAAUCAAUUUUAUUGUGGCAUAAUUUACGAACAAUAAAAUACACACAUUUUAAAUGUACAGUUUGGUGAGUUUUACAAAUGUCUAUGCCUGUGGAC